GACGAACGCUGGCGGCGUGCUUAACACAUGCAAGUCGAACGGAAAGGCCCUGCUUUUGUGGGGUGCUCGAGUGGCGAACGGGUGAGUAACACGUGAGUAACCUGCCCUUGACUUUGGGAUAACUUCAGGAAACAGGGGCUAAUACCGGAUAGGAGCUCCUGCUGCAUGGUGGGGGUUGGAAAGUUUCGGCGGUUGGGGAUGGACUCGCGGCUUAUCAGCUUGUUGGUGGGGUAGUGGCUUACCAAGGCUUUGACGGGUAGCCGGCCUGAGAGGGUGACCGGCCACAUUGGGACUGAGAUACGGCCCAGACUCCUACGGGAGGCAGCAGUGGGGAAUAUUGCACAACGGGCGGAAGCCUGAUGCAGCAACGCCGCGUGCGUGAUGACGGCCUUCGGGUUGUAAACCGCUUUCGCCUGUGACGAAGCGUGAGUGACGGUAAUGGGUAAAGAAGCACCGGCUAACUACGUG
rnacentral:rRNA from 1 species